ensembl:snoRNA small nucleolar RNA SNORD45
GGUCGGUGAUGUGAUGGCAUGUGUUAGCUGAAUCCAAAGUUGAUGCAAAUUCUAAAAUUACACUCAAACCUU